rnacentral:rRNA from 1 species
CGCAUCUGUGCAUGCAGCAUAUCAAUAAGGGAGGAAAAGAAACUAACAAGGAUUCCCCUAGUAACGGCGAGUGAAGCGGGAAGAGCUCAAAUUUGAAAUCUUAAAGGGUUUCCCUUUACGAAUUGUAGUUUAAAGAAGUGUUUUCUGUUGAGGUUUUGGUAAAAGUUCUUUGGAAUAGGACAUCAUAGAGGGUGAGAAUCCCGUAUUUGACCUUUACUUUCAACUUUGUGAUACACUUUCAAAGAGUCGGAUUGUUUGGGAAUGCAGUCCAAAAUGGGUGGUAAAUUUCAUCUAAAGCUAAAUAUUGGCGAGAGACCGAUAGCGAACAAGUACCGUGAGGGAAAGAUGAAAAGAACUUUGAAAAGAGAGUUAAACAGUACGUGAAACUGUCAAAAGGGAAGCGUUUGACACCAGUGUUGUUUUUCUGAAAAUCAAUUAAAGAACUGUUUAUGCUAAGUUGUUUAGACUUUAUCAGCUAACUGUUUAGUUUUGAGCUUUUCUCUAAUGCACUUUUCAGUUAACAAGUCAACAUCAAUUUCUUUUGCUGUAAAAAAGCUUGAGGAAGGUGGCUUGAGAUUCGUCUUAAGUGUUUAUAGCCUCUUGCCUAUGCAGUCGGAGAGAUUGAGGUCUGCAGCGUAGAUCCUUCGGGGCUAAAUGCAUUUGUGCUAAGUUAUAACAUUUUAUAGACAACUUGUUGACUAUGAUUUGUCUUGUAGCUUACUCGCUUAUGUUAUAUUACCUACGCUUAGGAUGUUGACAGCAGUAUAGACUGU